rnacentral:rRNA from 1 species
UUAAGCGACUAAGCGUACACGGUGGAUGCCCUGGCAGUCAGAGGCGAUGAAGGACGUGCUAAUCUGCGAUAAGCGUCGGUAAGGUGAUAUGAACCGUUAUAACCGGCGAUUUCCGAAUGGGGAAACCCAGUGUGAUUCGUCACACUAUCAUUAACUGAAUCCAUAGGUUAAUGAGGCGAACCGGGGGAACUGAAACAUCUAAGUACCCCGAGGAAAAGAAAUCAACCGAGAUUCCCCCAGUAGCGGCGAGCGAACGGGGAGCAGCCCAGAGCCUGAAUCAGUGUGUGUGUUAGUGGAAGCGUCUGGAAAGGCGCGCGAUACAGGGUGACAGCCCCGUACACAAAAAUGCACAUACUGUGAGCUCGAUGAGUAGGGCGGGACACGUGGUAUCCUGUCUGAAUAUGGGGGGACCAUCCUCCAAGGCUAAAUACUCCUGACUGACCGAUAGUGAACCAGUACCGUGAGGGAAAGGCGAAAAGAACCCCGGCGAGGGGAGUGAAAAAGAACCUGAAACCGUGUACGUACAAGCAGUGGGAGCACGCUUAGGCGUGUGACUGCGUACCUUUUGUAUAAUGGGUCAGCGACUUAUAUUCUGUAGCAAGGUUAACCGAAUAGGGGAGCCGAAGGGAAACCGAGUCUUAACUGGGCGUUAAGUUGCAGGGUAUAGACCCGAAACCCGGUGAUCUAGCCAUGGGCAGGUUGAAGGUUGGGUAACACUAACUGGAGGACCGAACCGACUAAUGUUGAAAAAUUAGCGGAUGACUUGUGGCUGGGGGUGAAAGGCCAAUCAAACCGGGAGAUAGCUGGUUCUCCCCGAAAGCUAUUUAGGUAGCGCCUCGUGAAUUCAUCUCCGGGGGUAGAGCACUGUUUCGGCAAGGGGGUCAUCCCGACUUACCAACCCGAUGCAAACUGCGAAUACCGGAGAAUGUUAUCACGGGAGACACACGGCGGGUGCUAACGUCCGUCGUGAAGAGGGAAACAACCCAGACCGCCAGCUAAGGUCCCAAAGUCAUGGUUAAGUGGGAAACGAUGUGGGAAGGCCCAGACAGCCAGGAUGUUGGCUUAGAAGCAGCCAUCAUUUAAAGAAAGCGUAAUAGCUCACUGGUCGAGUCGGCCUGCGCGGAAGAUGUAACGGGGCUAAACCAUGCACCGAAGCUGCGGCAGCGACGCUUAUGCGUUGUUGGGUAGGGGAGCGUUCUGUAAGCCUGCGAAGGUGUGCUGUGAGGCAUGCUGGAGGUAUCAGAAGUGCGAAUGCUGACAUAAGUAACGAUAAAGCGGGUGAAAAGCCCGCUCGCCGGAAGACCAAGGGUUCCUGUCCAACGUUAAUCGGGGCAGGGUGAGUCGACCCCUAAGGCGAGGCCGAAAGGCGUAGUCGAUGGGAAACAGGUUAAUAUUCCUGUACUUGGUGUUACUGCGAAGGGGGGACGGAGAAGGCUAUGUUGGCCGGGCGACGGUUGUCCCGGUUUAAGCGUGUAGGCUGGUUUUCCAGGCAAAUCCGGAAAAUCAAGGCUGAGGCGUGAUGACGAGGCACUACGGUGCUGAAGCAACAAAUGCCCUGCUUCCAGGAAAAGCCUCUAAGCAUCAGGUAACAUCAAAUCGUACCCCAAACCGACACAGGUGGUCAGGUAGAGAAUACCAAGGCGCUUGAGAGAACUCGGGUGAAGGAACUAGGCAAAAUGGUGCCGUAACUUCGGGAGAAGGCACGCUGAUAUGUAGGUGAAGUCCCUCGCGGAUGGAGCUGAAAUCAGUCGAAGAUACCAGCUGGCUGCAACUGUUUAUUAAAAACACAGCACUGUGCAAACACGAAAGUGGACGUAUACGGUGUGACGCCUGCCCGGUGCCGGAAGGUUAAUUGAUGGGGUCAGCGCAAGCGAAGCUCUUGAUCGAAGCCCCGGUAAACGGCGGCCGUAACUAUAACGGUCCUAAGGUAGCGAAAUUCCUUGUCGGGUAAGUUCCGACCUGCACGAAUGGCGUAAUGAUGGCCAGGCUGUCUCCACCCGAGACUCAGUGAAAUUGAACUCGCUGUGAAGAUGCAGUGUACCCGCGGCAAGACGGAAAGACCCCGUGAACCUUUACUAUAGCUUGACACUGAACAUUGAGCCUUGAUGUGUAGGAUAGGUGGGAGGCUUUGAAGUGUGGACGCCAGUCUGCAUGGAGCCGACCUUGAAAUACCACCCUUUAAUGUUUGAUGUUCUAACGUUGACCCGUGAUCCGGGUUGCGGACAGUGUCUGGUGGGUAGUUUGACUGGGGCGGUCUCCUCCUAAAGAGUAACGGAGGAGCACGAAGGUUGGCUAAUCCUGGUCGGACAUCAGGAGGUUAGUGCAAUGGCAUAAGCCAGCUUGACUGCGAGCGUGACGGCGCGAGCAGGUGCGAAAGCAGGUCAUAGUGAUCCGGUGGUUCUGAAUGGAAGGGCCAUCGCUCAACGGAUAAAAGGUACUCCGGGGAUAACAGGCUGAUACCGCCCAAGAGUUCAUAUCGACGGCGGUGUUUGGCACCUCGAUGUCGGCUCAUCACAUCCUGGGGCUGAAGUAGGUCCCAAGGGUAUGGCUGUUCGCCAUUUAAAGUGGUACGCGAGCUGGGUUUAGAACGUCGUGAGACAGUUCGGUCCCUAUCUGCCGUGGGCGCUGGAGAAUUGAGGGGGGCUGCUCCUAGUACGAGAGGACCGGAGUGGACGCAUCACUGGUGUUCGGGUUGUCAUGCCAAUGGCACUGCCCGGUAGCUAAAUGCGGAAGAGAUAAGUGCUGAAAGCAUCUAAGCACGAAACUUGCCCCGAGAUGAGUUCUCCCUGACUCCUUGAGAGUCCUGAAGGAACGUUGAAGACGACGACGUUGAUAGGCCGGGUGUGUAAGCGCAGCGAUGCGUUGAGCUAACCGGUACUAAUGAACCGUGAGGCUUAACCUU